rnacentral:rRNA from 1 species
UACGGAGGGGGCUAGCGUUGUUCGGAAUUACUGGGCGUAAAGCGCGCGUAGGCGGCUUUGUAAGUUAGAGGUGAAAGCCCGGGGCUCAACUCCGGAAUUGCCUUUAAAACUGCAUCGCUAGAGUUGUGGAGAGGUAAGUGGAAUUCCGAGUGUAGAGGUGAAAUUCGUAGAUAUUCGGAAGAACACCAGUGGCGAAGGCGACUUACUGGACACAUACUGACGCUGAGGUGCGAAAGCGUGGGGAGCAAACAGG